AGAUUAAAAAAAGAAAGAGAAGGGGAAAAAAUAUGAUUAAACAACAUCAUGAAUGCAAUCUACAGAAACAGAAAAAUAAAAUUACUUAUAUGCAUGCUUAAGGAGAUACAAAACUUCUUCAAAAAGCAGAGGUUCAGGAAAUGCAACACAGGCACAGCUAUUCUAAACACAUUAAAAACAUCACUGGCCAAGAGAAAUUAAUAUUCCAAUGGCUGCUAGUUAAAUCAUCUUCAAGUAUGUGCUGGAGCACUAUUCCUUUCUUACUGAUUGGAAACAAAUCAUCAGGAACAAGUUACUUAAAGUGCAAGAGUAUCCAAUGCUGCUCCUCCUCCAAGGAGCUCCUGGUCCCUGACAGAUCAACAGGUUAAAAAAAGAAAAAGAAGAAAGGCUUAUGGAAGAGAGGUAAAACUCAGAUUUGGAAGAUGCUAUUGGCAGUCAGUGAUCCUGCGCCACAAUCUUCAUUCCCUUUGGUUUAAAUAUGAACAAAAUUAAGGGAUUCUAGAAGAGCUCCUGAUGAAGUACUAACAAAACCCCAAAAAGCAAGGAGAAAAGAAAUUAAACUAAACUCAACCUGUCAAGCUGCUGUAAGAGUGGUUGCUGCUGUCCUGGCCCAGGCAGCCCCACACUGCUGGGACAGGGUGUGCUGACUGCAGGUUUCACAACUCCAAAGUCCGUGUUGACCUGCAGGUCUACAGCUAGUGUUGUGGACAACACACAAAGAACUGACUGUUACCUGAAACCCCCAAAUAUUUUGUCAGCCUUCACAUCUCAGGCUCACUGCAGUGCAAAACUCACUGCAGGCAGCUUUGCUGGAGCAUUCUCCUCAUGGAGAGAAGGAGCUCCUGACCCUGAGCUUGGUGUCCCUCAAUGGCUACGAGUAACUGGAUGGGCUGCAUGGAUGGGCUGCAUGGAUGGGCUGCUCACCUGCACCUAGUGAGGAUCUGUGCUACCAGGGGAAGGAGCUGCAGGAGACUGCCAGGAGUGUGAAGAUAGGAAGCUCAUGGAUUCUGGCACCAGAAUCCUGCUUCACCUGCUGGGUAGUGACCACGGGAGACACUCAGGAUCCUUACAGCAGACAAGGAGCUCUUUGGAAGGAAGCACCAGAACCUCCUGAAGCAGCAGCACCAAGAAAAGGUGGUGAGAGACUCAGGCCUUUCCAGCCUCACAGCACCUGGAGCUCAGGCACCAGCACUCCAGGCAGUGCUCCAGCACAUCCUACCACCACCAUCCAUUAGGCAUCACUACAGAAGGUCCUUCUAGAACUGUGGCUUUCCAGUAUGUUAAAAGUAUCUCACUCAUGCCGAUCACCCUGUGCCUGUGAGUCCACCACCUCCUUUCAUCUGUCCUACACCCUGCACUUUGGCACAAGGCUUGAACAACACUUGGAUUUCCAGACACUGGCAUGUUUGUGUCCUAUAACAAACAUUUCCUUCAGAUCACUGAGGUGGAGACCUUUCUUGGAAAAGUUCACAGUACUAAAAUGUUUAGCACAGCUCUGCCAAAACCUUCUUGCACUGGCAGGUGGAAACAUACUGGGCAUUCAAAUGUGACAAUGAUUACCAGCUUGUUUUUCUGGCCUCUCUGUUAAAGCACAGCAAGGAGCUGUCAUGCUGAAGACCACUUGAACCAGGCUCAUCAAAGUGAGCUUCAACAUCAAAUUUCCAAAGUAGAAC